rnacentral:rRNA from 1 species
UACGUAGGGGGGCAAGCGUUGUCCGGAUUUAUUGGGCGUAAAGAGCGUGUAGGCGGCCAUGUAGGUCCGUUGUGAAAACUCGAGGCUCAACCUCGAGACGCCGAUGGAAACCAUGUGGCUAGAGUCCGGAAGAGGAGAGUGGAAUUCCUGGUGUAGCGGUGAAAUGCGCAGAUAUCAGGAAGAACACCCGUGGCGAAGGCGGCUCUCUGGGACGGUACUGACGCUGAGACGCGAAAGCGUGGGGAGCGAACAGG